GUGAACGCUGGCGGCGUGCCUAACACAUGCAAGUCGAACGAUGAUAGAGAGCUUGCUCUCUUGAUUAGUGGCGCACGGGUGAGUAUACCAUAGAUAAUGUACCUCUUAGUUCGGGAUAGCCACUGGAAACGGUGAUUAAUACCGGAUACUCCUUCUUACUCUAAGGUAAGUCGGGAAAGUUUUUUCGCUAAGAGAUCAGUCUAUGUCCUAUCAGCUAGUUGGUGAGGUAAUGGCUCACCAAGGCUAUGACGGGUAUCUGGUUUGAGAGGAUGAUCAGACACACUGGAACUGAGACACGGUCCAGACUCCUACGGGAGGCAGCAGUGAGGAAUAUUGCACAAUGGAGGAAACUCUGAUGCAGCAACGCCGCGUGGAGGAUGACGCAUUUCGGUGUGUAAACUCCUUUUAAGAGGGAAGAUAAUGACGGUACCUCUUGAAUAAGCACCGGCUAACUCCGU
rnacentral:rRNA from 1 species